GCACCUCAGUACAACCUGUGUCGAUUCUUCUUGUUUGACGUGGGUAUCGCAGGUGCUAGAGAAACUCAUAGUUAAUCCAGAUGGACCUCCUCCUCAUGUGGGGCCCGUCUCUACAACUUUGGUACAUGA